rnacentral:rRNA from 1 species
UACGUAGGCAGCAAGCGUUGUUCGGAGUUACUGGGCGUAAAGGGUGUGUAGGCGGUUGUUUAAGUUUGGUGUGAAAUCUCCCGGCUCAACUGGGAGGUGCGCCGAAUACUGAAUGACUAGAGUGCGGGAGAGGAAAGUGGAAUUCCUGGUGUAGCGGUGAAAUGCGUAGAUAUCAGGAGGAACACCGGUGGUGUAGACGGCUUUCUGGACCGUAACUGACGCUGAGACACGAAAGCCGUGGGUAGCAAACAGG